rnacentral:lncRNA from 10 species
AGGAAACUGAAAUAUUUACCAUGGAGCUGACCAAUGAUAUACUUUUUAGAGGUGAUGCAUGAGAUGUUUUCUAUUGCUGACCCAAGCUACUUCUGCCUCUUCUUUCCAGCUAACAGAAUCCCAAUUUGUUCAGAUAGGGACCUUCACCAGGGAUGAACUAUGACUGAGCUAAAUAAACCAGGCUUUCUAAUCUCAUCCCUUUUGGAAGUAAUUGGUCUGAUGAUGAGCAGGUGACCUAGUUCAACUGCAGAUGGAGACACCUGGAGAGGACUUCUUUUCCUGACUAAAAAGACAAAGCUGUGCAAAAAGGAAAGAUUUAACUUUCUCCCCUUCUUUCUUCCUGGAAUAUGGCUCUGGUUCCUGAGAUGCAGCAGAUGUUUUGUGACAUGAGCAAAAAGUCCAAGGAUGAAAGGUAAAGAUGAAGAUGGAAAGGCCCUGAUUCCUUGGUGGGAUCAUGGAGCAGUUGAACCUACUCCAGCAACUGUCUGCCACUGGAAUUCUCGUAAUAGAAGAAAAAUAAUCCCCUAUUCUAUUAGGUUACUGAAGUUUGGUUUGCUGUUUCUUGCGAUUGAAUGCCUAACACAGAUGGGCUCUCCUGAGGUUUGUUGUGAGACUCUAUUGCUAACAUAAUAAGCAAUCUGGGUGUCUUCAUUUGGGUUCCCUCAAUAACAGACCUUAUGACAAGGAUUAGGGUGCAAGUGGUUCAUUUGAGAGGCAAAGGAAAUAUCAAUAAGCAGUUAGGGAAGUGAAACAGAAAAAAGCAGCCAAUAAAGGGUGCAUUAUCAAGCCAGCUACCACUGUGAAGAAACUCUACAAACCAACGGAAAACACAUGCCUCAGGGGUAAAGGAGCUAGGGUAUUUACAUACCAACUCAUUUAUUGGUUGAGGAAGGCUUCCAGGGAACAUUAAUACCCUGGCAUAUCUGUUUACCAUAUAGGAGGCAAACUGGGCUUUAACAGUCAGAGAAAGCCCUCAGGAGAAGAAAUGCAGGCACUGAUCAUUGAAAGUCCAGCUAGCACGCAUUGAAAAACUAGGAGAUAUGGAAGGACAAUCAAGAGCAUCUGCUGCAACUAAUGAGCUGCUGUUACAGGCAAAUACAGGCAUAGCCCAUCUGGAUUCUUUACACUAAGGCAAGAGGCAAGCAGAAGACAAAGAGAGAAAGCAGAGGACCUCCGGGAAAGGAAGCCCCCUUUUCAGUCGGCCUAGGCAGAAGUAGAUUUACUCUGAGGAU